rnacentral:rRNA from 1 species
UACGGGGGGGGCAAGCGUUGUUCGGAAUUACUGGGCGUAAAGGGCUCGUAGGCGGCCAACUAAGUCGGAUGUGAAAUCCCCAGGCUUAACCUGGGAACUGCAUCCGAUACUGGAUGGCUUGAAUCCGGGAGAGGGAUGCGGAAUUCCAGGUGUAGCGGUGAAAUGCGUAGAUAUCAGGAGGAACACCGGUGGCGAAGGCGGGUCUCUGGGCCGAUACUGACGCUGAGGAGCGAAAGCGUGGGGAGCAAACAGG